UACGUAGGGUGCAAGCGUUGUCCGGAAUUAUUGGGCGUAAAGAGCUUGUAGGCGGUUUGUCGCGUCUGCUGUGAAAUUUCGGGGCUCAACCCCGAACUUGCAGUGGGUACGGGCAGACUAGAGUGUGGUAGGGGAGACUGGAAUUCCUGGUGUAGCGGUGAAAUGCGCAGAUAUCUGGAGGAACACCGGUGGCGAAGGCGGCAUCCUGGACCGGUAGUUGACGCUGAGGAGCGAAAGCCAGGGGAGCAAAGCGGG
rnacentral:rRNA from 1 species